AAGCAUUUGUGAAUGAGUGCUCCACUGCUCCCCCAAGGCCCAAUAUCUCGUCUUUCUGGUCUUAUCUCCCUCCCUUAACUGGUUUCUCUUUCUCUCAUCCCCUCCUCAUCUCCUUCCAUACUCAACCACCAAAACGCUAACUACUCCAUUUCUACCCUCCUUCUCUCCAUCUCCUUAUCGUUUGAUUUUCAUGCUAAAAUCCCUAAUACGUUCGUAAGAAGCUCUGAAUUCGAACGGAUCCCCCAUUUCAAGGGUUUCCAGUUCAAUUUUCACUCGCAUCUCACCCAUUCUUCACAAAAACAACUUUGUGACCUUCGCAUCUGGGUUUGUCCUGAAUUGGCCUUACAUCCACAAUCAAUCCGUGGCCUUUCUUCUUUACAAUCACUUUUAAUUGGGGGCUGUCCACACCUGGAGACAAGAUGUUGGAAACUAGACGAUCUUGAUGUCUCAUCACGAGUUCUUCAGCGCCGUUCUUCAGCACCACGGUAGGAGGCAGCGACGAUGGUGGUUCUUCAGCAUAGCUAUCUCUCUCAUCCUUUUGUGUGAGUUCUUCAGCAUCGUUCAUUCAGGGAAUUUGGUUUUGAAUUUGUCAAAAGAACCCAAUCAACUGUUGUUCGUGAGAGAUAUCCUAACCAUGGACAACCUGUUGAAAGGGAGUAUAAAAUUCUUACUCUUUUAGAUUUCCAAGCAAGAGAAAACGGAUGUCUGUAAUAGUGCGUGAUGAGGACAGCCAUAUCCUUCUCUUUUGUUAAGGAGCAGACAAGUAUAUGUGUCUAUGGUCUUUUCUCCAUCGUUUCUUGGCAUUGCAAAUGUAUCAAUCGAAUGAAAUUAUCUCAGCUUCAUAUUAAUUUAAUUAGCUUUGUUGAUCUAGCUAUUCAUAUGAGAGUUGACACUGCGUUUUUUAUAUCUUAUUUGGUCUUACAUCAACUUGAAGAUUAGAAGCCCUCUUAUUGACCUUUCAUGAUUCUGUGGGUCUACAGCAUAAUUUUUGAUCGGCUCCCACAAAAUGGAAAAACGUAUCUGGAAGACACCACAAAGCAUCUGAAUGAAUAUGGAGAUAAUGGGUUGCGUACAUUGGCCCUCGCUUAUAAAAAGCUUGAAGAGUCUGAAUUCUCUGAUUGGAACAAUGAAUUUCUGAAAGCUAAGAGCUCGAUUGGGAGUGAUAGGGACGUAAAUCUAGAGCGGGUUUCAGAUAUGAUGGAGAGAGACUUAAUUCUCGUAGGUGCAACAGCUGUUGAAGAUAAGCUGCAGAAAGGGUUUGUUUAGCAGCUAUGCGAUUUGGAUUUUUCUGAAGAUUUGGUGUAAAAAUUGAUUAUGACAGGUGGAUGUUCUUGUCUAUACAUCAGAUAUUUAUGUUAAACCUUCAGAUAGAUAACCAAGGUCUAAUGGAGGUAGAAAACAAGAAUAUGGAUCUGUCAUAGUUGUACCACAGAAGACUUCAGCUGGUGGUGCCUUUUAUUACAAUUUUUUUGUCUUAUUGCUUGUUACAUGGUUGACUUCAUAAAUCGGACGUAGCUGAUACUUCAGUUUUGGCAGAUUGACAAGGCAAUGAUGGAGUGAAACGAAUAGCAAAUCCUAUUGAAAUUUUGCCACUGGUCAAGAAGCUGCAGGUGUGAAAGUAUUUGUUGCUUGCUUUAUUUAUACAAUCAAUUUUCAAUUAUUUGCAGCAUAUGAACUAGAGUUACCAUCUAACUCAAUUGUGAUACGAUAUUCAUCACCAGGUUUUCUCAACAUGCAUUAUUUAAAAUUUUAAUGAUCCAAAUUGUAAUUGAUAGACUUUGUUUUGUCGUUAUUUUUGAGUCAUAUUCUUGAGGGAGCAACUUGUUACGACUUUCGGGCUCAUAAGCAAUGACAUAGCUGCUCAUUGAACCAUGAAGUAUGUAUUAAAUUUUAUUUGUUCUAAGCCUAUUGUAUUGAAAGAUAAUGCUGAAAGCAACAUGAUGGAUUGAGUUUGAGUAGCCUACUAUAUUAUGAAAUUUAUUUGUGGCUGGAAGAUCAUUGGGAAAAAUUUCUUUUCUGAGCAACUCCUGAUAUUUUAUUUUCUUUGCCAGGGACAAGUAAGUAGGUCGAUAAUAUUCCCACCUACUGCCAGGAGAAUGGAGACACUUAAUGAUUUAAUGGCUGCAAGUGAUGUGAUCUCUCUCCACUGUGCUUUAACAGAUGAGACUGUCCAGAUUAUCAAUGCUGAAUGUUUGCAGAAUAUCAAACCUGGUGCAUAUUUGGUGAACACUGGAAGCAAUCAGCUUUUGGAUGAUUUGCAAUUGUAUUUCUUAUAAUUUGCAAUUGUUGUUUAUUUGUAGUAUUUCUUGUAUUCAAGAACAAAAAUUUUAGAAAUAUAACUUUUUACCUAUAUAA